UCCCUGGUGGUCCAGGGGUUAAGACUCCACACUCCCAAUGCCAGUGUCUCAGGUUCAAUCCCUGGUCAGGGAA
rfam:Ovis aries breed Texel chromosome 2, whole genome shotgun sequence.